UGGGGAAUAUUGCACAAUGGGGGAAACCCUGAUGCAGCGACGCCGCGUGGAGGAAGAAGGUCUUCGGAUUGUAAACUCCUGUUGUUGAGGAAGAUAAUGACGGUACUCAACAAGGAAGUGACGGCUAACUACGUGCCAGCAGCCGCGGUAAAACGUAGGUCACAAGCGUUGUCCGGAAUUACUGGGUGUAAAGGGAGCGCAGGCGGGAAGACAAGUUGGAAGUGAAAUCCAUGGGCUCAACCCAUGAACUGCUUUCAAAACUGUUUUUCUUGAGUAGUGCAGAGGUAGGCGGAAUUCCCGGUGUAGCGGUGGAAUGCGUAGAUAUCGGGAGGAACACCAGUGGCGAAGGCGGCCUACUGGGCACCAACUGACGCUGAGGCUCGAAAGUGUGGGUAGCAAACAGGAUUAGAUACCCUGGUAGUCCACACCGUAAACGAUGAUUACUAGGUGUUGGAGGAUUGACCCCUUCAGUGCCGCAGUUAACACAAUAAGUAAUCCACCUGGGGAGUACGACCGCAAGGUUGAAACUCAAAGGAAUUGACGGGGGCCCGCACAAGCAGUGGAGUAUGUGGUUUAAUUCGACGCAACGCGAAGAACCUUACCAAGUCUUGACAUCCCUUGACGAUGCUGGAAACAGUAUUUCUCUUCGGAGCAAGGAGACAGGUGGUGCAUGGUUGUCGUCAGCUCGUGUCGUGAGAUGUUGGGUUAAGUCCCGCAACGAGCGCAACCCUUAUGGUCAGUUACUACGCAAGAGGACUCUGGCCAGACUGCCGUUGACAAAACGGAGGAAGGUGGGGAUGACGUCAAAUCAUCAUGCCCUUUAUGACUUGGGCUACACACGUACUACAAUGGCGUUAAACAAAGAGAAGCAAGACCGCGAGGUGGAGCAAAACUCAGAAACAACGUCCCAGUUCGGACUGCAGGCUGCAACUCGCCUGCACGAAGUCGGAGUCGCUAGUAAUCGCGGAUCAGCAACGCCGCGGUGAAUGCGUUCCC
rnacentral:rRNA from 1 species